CUCACACUGUUGCUUAUAUAUAUUUCAAAUAAGCUGAACCACGGCCAGCAGGCCUUUGGCAGAAUUCAUUAGAGACUGGGAUAUCAGGACAACUGCAGUUAAGCAAGAAAACUUGUUAUGAGAUGAGGAGACAAAAAUUCAAUUUAAUUUAUUUACAAGUCCAGGUCUGCAAUUGAAUAUUUGGUCAAACUACUGCCAUAUUCUUCCUUCAAGUCACUAUGCUAUGAAGAGGCAUGCACCGUGCAUAGAACAGAGCCAUCUGUACCCUUUCAGAUGAUUGUGACAGCAAGUCUUUGGACUUCUGCUGGCAUGGAAUCCUACAUACGUGUUACUGACACAUAAAAACUACCUUUGUAAUCCUUCUACAAUCAGCUUCUCUCCUGGAUCCCUGCCAGAUCUCUAGAGCAAAUGUAUGACUUCAUAACAAUGUCCUCCUUCAAGAAAACAGAACAAAAGAAAGCAAUUAUUAAUAGUUAUUAAGAACGCUUCGCUGGAGUCUAGAAAUACAGAAUGACAGACACACCUACCUCAAUGGGUUGCAUUUACAUCAGAGCAGUGAUCAGCCUACCAGGAAAAUUAUCACUGUAACCAACACACUCAUUGCAUAAGAGAAUUUACUCAUCAUUUCUUGUACAUGUAAAGAAGAUAUUCCCUUUGUGAAUGUGGUGGUGGUGAAAACACUUAGGCUUAAGAUACAAGGAUACUGUUUAUAGGAGAGAGUCUGAUUGUCCAGUUGAAAGUGAUCAUGAGAUUCUGAACUGUAGUUUAGGGAAGCGAUGGAGGCGGCAGAAGGCCGGGCGAGAGCUGUGCUACCCGUGCAGGACAGUUCGAGAGUGACACCGCGUGGAGCCGCUGGGAGCGGCCCCUAAGGCUCAGCCAGAGGAAGGAACUAAGCACUGCUACAGCCUGGAAAGAAAUUUAAACAGGCAGAUAGUCCUUUGUGUUUAAUCCAGGAUAAGGAAAAAAAAAAAAAAAAAAAAACAACAACUAUAUGCUUUCACUUAUGCAUUUAUUUUUAGGCAUUUGCUACACUGCUAGGCGUAUCUUGCACCUAAAAAAUGACACCUGUUCCUCUCUCCAUUUCUUUCAUUAUUUUCCUCCACCUCUCAAAAUGGAAGAAUGAAGUGUGAACAGGGGACCCAGUUUUCAGCCAAGUCCCACACAGCUGGAAUGCAUGAGUGGCUCUGCAUCCUCUGGUUCAGGACAGCUGUGUCCCCAAAAUAGGUCCUUCAACCAUUUGUGUUGGCUACAGCAGCCCCAACAGUGGGAGGAGGAUCUGUGGGAAGCUGUACAUCUCACUCUGUCCUGUUUUCUCAGGAGCUCUAAUGUUCUGCUUGCAUUGUGAGGAACCAGCCAUACCAAAUUUAAAUGCCUCAGGAUCUUCCUGUGAGAGAUAUGUUAAAACUAUUACAGAACUUGAAUUGAGCUCUGCAUAUUUUAUAUUUUUCUGUAGCACCUUAGAGUAUUACAGCAGCUUGAAAUCUCUACAAGAUAGAGAAAUCAUUAAAUAAUUCUGUUGUGCAUGCACUUUGGCUUAUUUUUCUGGAGACACCACAAUAAGACACCCAAGCACAAUUCAAUUCCUCAACUAAAACAAGUUGUAUAAGUUUAUUGCUGCAGUAAAAAUAAGUGUAAAUCAGAAGACCAGCUUGAUUUUACUGUUUUUUUUUUUUUUUUUUUUUUUUUAUACAGAAAAUAUCUUGAAAGCCACCGUCUCAGUUGUUUCCAUGACCAUGGGAACCUUGCCAAAUACUAUUCUGACUCUUCAUUUGCAUACAUUAAAAAAUAUAGGGCAAAAUCCUUCACUAUGGAAUAGAAUCUGUGCCCGUAUACAUCUCAAAGCAGGCUUGAGAGCAAGGAUUUGGUACACUCUUAUCUUCUUUAACAGUUCUGCUAGAAGUAAAUGUUCCUCUUGAACUGAAAAAUGUGUUUUUUGCAUAAACUUUAGCGUUUAAAAAACUUACACUACAAAUAUUGAAAAUCAAAUGACUUCAGACUCCCAUUGAAAAUUUCACAUCUAUAAAAGAAUAGUUUUUCUUUUAAUUUCUUUGGAAAAAUAAAGGUCAAAACCCUCACCAUCUGAACAUUUUCUGACUGUCUUGAUACAGAAACCUUGGUGGCUGUCUUUCAGUGUUUAAUGGUAAGUUUUAUGUAAAAUAAGAUUAUGUUUAUUUAUUUAUUUAUUCUAAGCCUUCUAAGUUAUGUACAAAUAAAAGACAAGUUUACUCUUGUUUUAA